rnacentral:tRNA from 1 species
UGGCUCAGUUGGAAGAGCACGGGACUCUUGAUCUCAGGGUUGUGGGUUCGAGCCCCAC